rnacentral:sRNA from 1 species
UGCCACGUGGUGGUGGACACCAGCCAAUU